rnacentral:rRNA from 1 species
UUGUCUCAAAGAUUAAGCCAUGCAUGUCUCAGUACAUACCAAAUUAAGGUGAAACCGCGAAAGGCUCAUUAAAUCAGUUAUGGUUCCUUAGAUCGUACCAACAUUUACUUGGAUAACUGUGGUAAUUCUAGAGCUAAUACAUGCAAACAGAGCUCCGACCGGAGACGGGAGGAGCGCUUUUAUUAGAUCAAAACCAAUCGGUGGCGGUCCGCCGUCAUCGUACAACUUGGUGACUCUGAAUAACUUUACGCUGAUCGCACGGUCUAGCACCGGCGACGCAUCUUUCAAAUGUCUGCCUUAUCAACUGUCGAUGGUAGGUUCUGCGCCUACCAUGGUUGUAACGGGUAACGGGGAAUCAGGGUUCGAUUCCGGAGAGGGAGCCUGAGAAACGGCUACCACAUCCAAGGAAGGCAGCAGGCGCGCAAAUUACCCACUCCCGGCACGGGGAGGUAGUGACGAAAAAUAACGAUACGGGACUCAUCCGAGGCCCCGUAAUCGGAAUGAGUACACUCUAAACCCUUUAACGAGGAUCAAUUGGAGGGCAAGUCUGGUGCCAGCAGCCGCGGUAAUUCCAGCUCCAAUAGCGUAUAUUAAAGUUGUUGCGGUUAAAAAGCUCGUAGUCGAAUCUGUGUCCCGCGCCGCCGGUUCAUCUUUCGAGGUGUUAACUGGCGUGCCGCGGGACGUCCUGCCGGUGGGCUUAGCUCCUUGUGGGCGGCCCAACUCAAUCCCGCCGCGGUGCUCUUCACUGAGUGUCGAGGUGGGCCGGCACGUUUACUUUGAACAAAUUAGAGUGCUUAAAGCAGGCUAAAACUUUGCCUGAAUACGUGUGCAUGGAAUAAUGGAAUAGGACCUCGGUUCUAUUUUGUUGGUUUUCGGAACCCCGAGGUAAUGAUUAAUAGGAACGGAUGGGGGCAUUCGUAUUGCGACGUUAGAGGUGAAAUUCUUGGAUCGUCGCAAGACGGACAG